CGGGAGGCAGCAGUGGGGAAUAUUGGACAAUGGGCGAAAGCCUGAUCCAGCCAUGCCGCGUGUGUGAAGAAGGUCUUCGGAUUGUAAAGCACUUUAAGUUGGGAGGAAGGGUUGUAGAUUAAUACUCUGCAAUUUGACGUACCGAC
rnacentral:rRNA from 1 species